rnacentral:misc_RNA from 1 species
AUCGCUAGCCUCAGUACCUUGGUAAGUCUCCUGUCAGACCUAUCAUCAACCCACACAUAUGGUGAUGCCCGGGUCUGUAUGUAAUUGGAUUUCAGCAGCCCCAGAUCAAGACUAGACCAAAGAAGAGGGUCCGAACAAGCUACGCGCCAUGAACGACAAACUUGAGAAACUGGACUCAGCUCAAUCAGGUUUAGUUCCCUGAAUAUCUUCACUAGGACAUCGGUAUCCAUGUCCUCCCACGUCUUCAUUGUGUCUCUGAUCUCUGCUAUGGCAAUCAACUUGAGAAACUACCACUGCCGGCCCUUCCUCGCCCGCCGCCUCGCCG